GGGCAGGUGUGGGCAGGUGUGGGCAGGUGUGGGCAGGUGUGGGCAGGUCCAUGGUUAUGGCCUUAUCAACGAAGCAGAUAAAAUGGAUGAUUUGAGGUGUAAGUAUUUAAAAAAGAUAGUAAAUUGGAGCUGAUGGUGUCUCCACUGCAGCGGAUGUCAUGCCUCUACAAGCACACUUCUGACUUAACUGAUGCAACAGCUUCAACUUUUUUCUCUGUUUUAGUCAUAAAUUAAUGUCAUUUUGCAGAGUAUUCAUUUCAAAAUAUAUAUUCCUGUGCAAAUUAGUGGCAGUUUUUUGAAGACAUAUUGUAGAAAAUAAAGGUUGCAAAGACUCAGAAUCCCGUAGAGUAGUGGAGGAAACUGCCUUUGACUGUGCAGUGACAAGCUGUCUCUGUGGAAUACGGUUUCUGAUCACACACAACUCCACAACUAGUUCAAAAGCACAACUUUGAUGAGUGUUGCCUCCUGUCCUUGAAUGGUAAGUGAAAUUAAUUGAUAUUGUCAUGGACCAACUUGUACGCUCUCCUGAAAGGGAGCGAAGGUCAGAGGAACAGGUGUUGGUCGAGCUGAGUUAGGAUGGUUUCAGCAUGGAUUGAGAGCAAACAUCAUGUCUGGAACAGAUACCAUCUGGUUCUGCCUCGGCUUCACCCUCUGACCCAGGAAACACUGAUGUGCUCCUGGAAGUAAGACUAGUGCUGAGGACCAAACUCUGCAACAUAAAGUAUAACUCACUACUUUCCAGCCUUGGKACGUACCAUAAAGAGAAGACUGCGUGACAGUAAACACAGAGGGUUCACUGCACACUGCAAGACACUCAGAAGCCUCAAGAACAAAAAGGCUGGAUUGAACUUUGAUAAAGAAACGUGUAAAAAAAAAACAGCAGAGUUCUGGAAGACCAGAUGAAACCAAAGUCAACCUGGACCAGAAUGGAGAGUAAAAAGUGUGGUGAAGGUACAGCUCAUGAUCCAGAGCUACCACAUCAUCUGUCAAACAUGGCGGAGGCAGUGUGAUGGUUAGGGCAUGUCUCCUGUUUAAUGAUGAUGUCACACAGACAGAAGCAGGGUUCUGGUUACUGUUUAAUUCUGAGACAAUGAGCCAAAACAAGCCAGGAGUUUAUUAAAGCAAAGCAGUGGACGRUUCUUGAUUGGCCAAGUGAGUCACCUGAUCUGAACCCAGCGGAGCGGUUCACCUGUGUCAGGUGACGUCCAGAGUUCAACUCUUCAGUCAGUGUCAGCCGAGACUUUUCUACCAAAUAAACAUUUUAUUUACAUUUUUCAUUUCUCCAGGUACUUUUGAGCCCCUGAAAUGAAGAAAUUAUGUUUAUAAAAUGCUUCAGUUUGUCAUAUUUCCAAGCAAUCGCUUUGUUCAACCGUCUGAAUUAAAGCUGAGAGUCUGAA